rnacentral:lncRNA from 1 species
UGUCUAUUCCUCUUACUGCUUCAUUGAACAGGGUGUGAAAAGGAAGACUUACUGAACAAGCUGACAGGAACCAAAGAAAAUACAGCUACUUCAGUGUUCUUCUUGACUGAAGACUUAUCAGAUUCGUUUAGAAAACAGAACCUCAACAACAGUAAAGUGCAGAGCAACAAAGGCUGUAACUUUCAGUUCAUUCUAGAAGCAAUGCUGUAAUAAGCCCAAAGGGAAAAGUUUGCCAUAGAAACAGUGAAAACUGUGACUACAACAAAGCUCAAGAUCUCAGCCAACUAACUCACAGUCCUUACCCAGAUAAAUCUCUUAGAAAAUUCAGACUGGUUGAAAAAUAGGUGAAACAAAUGAGAGGAGGAUGAUCUACUUUACACUUACUACUGCAAAUAACUGACUGUAUUGCACUGUACAGCUGACUGUACAGCUCCUUGGUGAAUAACACAGACAUAUGAGUUGAUUCAUCCUCACACACAGAAAUAUUUUCUCAUCUGAUGGAAUAUGUCAUCAUAUGUUCAAAGAUGGCAAUGGAAUGUGAAAUGAGAGAAAUAUGAAACAAACAAAAAGACUGAUGCAGAUAAUUCACAUGGCAGUAUUCGGGGAAGGAAAGAAAAGAAGAGAUGGUCAUGAUGUGGGAAGAUGUAAGAGGCACAGGAACACACAACAGAUAUUCAUAAGAAAUUGCUGCUUAUGGAAUUGCUUGCUUGUUGUUAACCUUCUUGUCAGUACCUUAUUUUUACGAGGGCAUUAUAAUGCAAUUCAUCUGAGACCUUGCUUCUCUACUGCCAUGGUACCACCCCCAAAGAUGUCACAUUUUCUGUAUCUGAUACAUAGGAUUUGGUUUCAUUUCUUCUUAGUA